rnacentral:misc_RNA from 1 species
GAUGAAGAACGUAGUGAAAUGCGAUAAGUAAUGUGAAUUGCAGAAUUCAGUGAAUCAUCGAAUCUUUGAACGCACAUUGCGCCCGCCAGUAUUCUGGCGGGCAUGCCUGUCCGAGCGUCAUUUCAACCCUCGAACCCCUCCGGGGGGUCGGCGUUGGGGAUCGGCCCUUUCACCGGGUGCCGGCCCCUAAAUACAGUGGCGGUCUCGCCGCAGCCUCUCAUGCGCAGUAGUUUGCACACUCGCACCGGGAGCGCGGCGCGUCCACGUCCGUAAAACACCCCAAACUUCUGAAAUGUUGACCUCGGAUCAGGUAGGAAUACCCGCUGAACUUAAGCAUAUCAAUAAGCGGAGGA